UUUGGCUCCAGGCUGGAUGUGAUGAUCUGGGAGGUCUUUUUCAACCUUGAUGACUACGUGGUCCUAGAGGGACAUUUCCUGAGGCUGGAGUUACACUGUGCUUUGGGGUGCACGUCAGAUGGAAGCAGCCAGGAAUGGAGCAUCCUUGGUUUUUAGCAGAAGGAACCAAAGCUGUGUGAGAUGUCUGGAGCGUGCCCAGGUCACACUCCCUCCCAGGCUCCUACAGAGAAGCAGCAGCAGCCUGAAAGCUUGUGUCAGCAGUAGGGAAAGGAGCAGCUCUGUAAAAAAGCAGUGGCUGUUACAGUGAAGUGCCAAAUAAGUGUUUGGGAAGAGAGUCUUUCUUAUAUGGUAACAAAGUGGAGAUCUACUGAUGUAAUGGGAACUGAACUGAACUGGAACUCUGAUCUCUAAGGAGGCCUCAUCCUUCUGACAAGUUUGCUUCACAUCAUUAGAAAAAGCAACUUACCAGCACAGCUCUCAGAAGUUCCAGUGAAAUGACUAGGAAAUAGUCCAUGUCAUCUGAACAAAGAACAGCUGAAGUGGAUGGGAGCUGCACUGCCACCCAGGAACACAGUUGGAUUCAUGGCUCAGACAGUGACAUCUUAUGCAACCUUGGCUGAGCAGCCUCUCAACACGAAUACCCUUUCCACAAGGCAACAGCUCAGCCUCACCCCCUCGUUUGGGGGAUCAAAGCACUGGAAACGUCAUCUGCAAAGUGGAAACCUUCAAGCAGAAGGAAAGUGAAAAUUCCUUGCCUCUCCACUGUGGAGCAGCCUCAUGUUUCAGGCACUGCCCUAAGGAGAGACAUCUCUGGUGUUCAGACUGCUCAGGUGAACUGAAAACUAAAGAUAAAUGAAAUUUGGGAAUAAAAGUGAGAUUCAAAUCA